GAUGAACGCUGGCGGCGUGCCUAGUACAUGCAAGUCGAGCGAAUGGAUUAAGAGCUUGCUCUUAUGAAGUUAGCGGCAGACGGGUGAGUAACACGUGGGUAACCUGCCCAUAAGACUGGGAUAACUCCGGGAAACCAGGGCUAAUACCGGAUAAUAUUUUGAACUGCAUGGUUCAAAAUUGAAAGGCGGCUUCGGCUGUCACUUAUGGAUGGACCCGCGUCGCAUUAGCUAGUUGGUGAGGUAACGGCUCACCAAGGCAACGAUGCGUAGCCGACCUGAGAGGGUGAUCGGCCACACUGGGACUGAGACACGGCCCAGACUCCUACGGGAGGCAGCAGUAGGGAAUCUUCCGCAAUGGACGAAAGUCUGACGGAGCAACGCCGCGUGAGUGAUGAAGGCUUUCGGGUCGUAAAACUCUGUUGUUAGGGAAGAACAAGUGCUAGUUGAAUAAGCUGACACCUUGACGGUACCCAACCAGAAAGCCACGGCUAACUACGUGCCUGCAGCCGCCGCUG
rnacentral:rRNA from 1 species